UACGUAGGGGGCAAGCGUUGUCCGGAAUCAUUGGGCGUAAAGCGCGUGUAGGCGGCCCGGUAAGUCCGCUGUGAAAGUCCAGGGCUCAACCCUGGAAUGCCGGUGGAUACUGUCGGGCUAGAGUGCGGGAGAGGCGAGUGGAAUUCCUGGUGUAGCGGUGAAAUGCGCAGAUAUCAGGAGGAACACCAAUUGCGAAGGCAGCUCGCUGGAACGUAACUGACGCUGAGACGCGAAAGCGUGGGGAGCAAACAGG
rnacentral:rRNA from 1 species